GAAUAGAUAAAGGAUUUCGGAGAAUUUUGAGGGAAGGCUUGCACGGUUGCACCUACAGCACACGCAGCCUCGAAACAAAGGGCGCAUCCCGGACAACACAGUGGAGUAGCGGAUACAGCGCACUGAGGCCGACCAGUGGUAGCCCCCUGGCUUCCCCGCCUCGACUUCUCAGAUUGGUGAGCAGCUGAGCAUCGGACCCGCCGGCCCACUCCAAAGAGCGCGCGCCACCUGCCACGCCGCCGCGAUGCCAUCGGAUCAGCUGUCCGCGUCCACCGUGGACGCCGACGCGGCGCCCGCGUCCCUCUCCUCUCCCAGAUGGAAGAAGCCCUCGUCCGGUCCCCAUCCCCGCACGGGCGACUGCGACCGGGGCCCCAACCCUAGCCCCCUCGGCGCCCCUUCGUGCAGGAGCGAGCUCAAGCGCAGGCUCCGCGAGUCCGCGGAGGCCGCGCGCGGGUCCGGCGACGGAGGCAGACAAAGGCUCGGGCUUGCGGGCGUCACUGUCGGCGUAGGCCACGGCGCCGUCCAGAGUCUCUGGAGCGACGCGGACGAGGUCACGCUCCUCGCCGCCGCCGCCGCCUUCCGCGAGCGCACCGGCCGUGUCCCGCGCCUCCCGGACGCGGCGGCGCUGUUCGGCUCCAUCGGGGACUCCAUCUCGCCGCACAUCGACGAGGCCAAGGCGUACGACAAGCUGAGCCGCCUCGAGAGCAAGUUCCUGCACGGUGCGUCGGGGAGUCCCGCCGGCACGCACGACCGCCGCGUCCAUGACUUGUCCACCAAAGUAUGGGGCCUCGCCAACGUCGUGUCCCCUCCCGAGGACGACUCGGACGGCCAAGACGCUGAAGAGAGCUGCAGUGACGAGCGACGCCUGAUCAUAGAGCGCGCGCCACCCGUCGACGCGCUGAUGCCACCCGACGCGGCGACCUUGGACGCCGACGCGGCACCCGCGCCUCCUUCCCCUCCCAUUGCAAAGAAGCACCCGCCCAGCCCUCAGCGCGGCAUGGACGGCGACCGCCAGGACCCCAACUCUAGCCCCCGCGGCUCUCCCUCCCGCAGGAGCGAGCCCAAUCGCAGGCUCCGCACGUCGGCGGAGAGUACCGUGGCGGCCGCGCGCGGGUCGAACGUCGACGGAGGGCAUGAAGACGUCCAGAGUCUCGAACCCGGGGGCGUCGCUGUCGACGUAGGCCAGAGGCUCGAACCCGCGGACGACGGAGGCCACGGCGCCGCCCCUAAUUAUCCCAGGACAUGGAGCGACGCCGAUGAGGUCACGCUCCUCGAGGCAGCCGCUGCCUUCCGGGAGCGCACUGGCCAAAUACCGCAGAAACGGGAGUACGGGACGCAGGGGUGCUGCUCCGCUCCAUCAGGGGCUCCAUCUCCCCGCACAUCGACGAGGCCAAGGUGUACCACAAGCUUCGUCGCUUCAAGAGCAAGUUCCGGCACGAGGCGCCGGGGAAAAUCCGCCACUGGGCACGACCGCCUCGUGCAUGAUCUUUGUGCCAAAGUUCGGGGCUUUGGCAACACUGUGGCCCGAGAUGCAUCAACCGUGAUGCCGGUGGUCACCGAGGUGCUUGCUGAGUACUGGAAAAUGAAUGAGCGGGCAUUGGCGGGGUUUCCCCUGGAGAAGGGUCUUUCACUACUAAGCAAAAAGGAGGGCAGAUUGAUGGAAACCAGGUGGAGGAAGCAGCUUGAUGAAGAGAUGCAAACACAGAUGCAGCGCCAUGAUCUGGCUAAGGAAAUUUGUGUCUUGCUCAAUGACACCGUCAAGGAUCUCAGUUCUUGACUCUGGUACGAAUGCCAUGCUGCAUGCAAUUUGUAGGAAAUUUCCUUCCCUAGCCUAACUACUUGUUCUUAGCUAUUUUGAACUUGUUGCUCGUUCUGUAGUUUAAUUUAGUGUCAGGAAAAUUACCUUAGAAGUUGUUCAGAGAUGGAAACUGAGUGUGCUGCCUGAUUGUUGCAAUGUUCUGCAUUUGUCUGACUUCUGUUCGCAAAAUAGCACAGCAAGCGUUUCUUAAUGCAGUGCAUCACAUACUGGAAAAUCAGCUAAGCUGGACUGCAAAAGAGCUGA